rnacentral:misc_RNA from 1 species
UACAGAGGCUCCAAGCGUUAGGCGGAAUCACUGGGCUUAAAGCGUGCGUAGGCGGCUCUCCAAGUGCUUUGUGAAAGCCCACGGCUCAACCGUGGAAUUGCUUGGCAUACUGGAAAGCUUGAAUUACCUAGGGGCGAGCGGAACUGACGGUGGAGCGGUGAAAUGCGUAGAUAUCGUCAGGAACGCCGAGGGCGAAAGCAGCUCGCUGGAGGUAUAUUGACGCUGAGGCACGAAAGCUAGGGUAGCGAACGGG